rnacentral:lncRNA from 1 species
UUUCCUUCCUCUCUUCCUCCUCCUGGCUCCCAACUUGUUUCUUCUUUCUUAUGUGCCAGUUGCUGUGCUGAGGAUAUGAAGCUAAAUAAGCCUCUCUCCUUUUCCUCAUGAAGCUCAAAAGCUUAGAUAGGAAGCAAAUAAAUAUAAUAUAGCAUGAUAAUUGCAAGAAUAUUAACAUGUCCAAAAGUUAAAGAGAGAAAGCAUAAAGAAGAAAGUGAUGAGCUCUGAGGGGUUGAGGCUUUUGCUCUCUCUUAAAUUGAUUGCUAUUUAGCACCCAUCAAAAGCUCUGCAGAGGGGACCAUCAUUAACGGCAUUUACGAAGACAUCCACUUAUUCCAACAGCAGGAGGAAGACCAACGCUUCUUAUCAUAAACACAAGUUCCUGCUAUACACAACACAUCCUUGAAUUCUAGGGAAGCCAAGAUGUACAUGAAAUGACUGCAGGUCUUAAAGGUCUUGAAUCUAAUUGUGGCACUGGGGCAUAUGUAGAGAUAAAUAUCACGUAGCAUAUGCUAAGGUGAUUUCGAAGAUCUAUUCUAUCUUAAGACACUGUAAGUCUAAUUAUUAAAUGAGCAAUACAGACAUUUA